GAUGAACGCUGGCGGCGUGCCUAAUACAUGCAAGUCGAGCGAACGGACGAGAAGCUUGCUUCUCUGAUGUUAGCGGCGGACGGGUGAGUAACACGUGGAUAACCUACCUAUAAGACUGGGAUAACUUCGGGAAGCCGGAGCUAAUACCGGAUAAUAUUUUGAACCGCAUGGUUCAAAAGUGAAAGACGGUCUUGCUGUCACUUAUAGAUGGAUCCGCGCUGCAUUAGCUAGUUGGUAAGGUAACGGCUUACCAAGGCAACGAUGCAUAGCCGACCUGAGAGGGUGAUCGGCCACACUGGAACUGAGACACGGUCCAGACUCCUACGGGAGGCAGCAGUAGGGAAUCUUCCGCAAUGGGCGAAAGCCUGACGGAGCAACGCCGCGUGAGUGAUGAAGGUCUUCGGAUCGUAAAACUCUGUUAUUAGGGAAGAACAUAUGUGUAAGUAACUGUGCACAUCUCGACGGUACCUAAUCAGAAAGCCACGGCUAACUACGUG
rnacentral:rRNA from 1 species